rnacentral:rRNA from 1 species
CUUAAAUUGAAGAGUUUGAUCAUGGCUCAGAUUGAACGCUGGCGGCAGGCCUAACACAUGCAAGUCGAGCGGAAACGAGUUAUCUGAACCUUCGGGGAACGAUAACGGCGUCGAGCGGCGGACGGGUGAGUAAUGCCUAGGAAAUUGCCC